GCACCCGUAGCUCAGCUGGAUAGAGCGUCUGUUUGCGGUACAGGAGGUCGUAGGUUCAAAUCCUGCCGGGUGUACCA
rnacentral:tRNA from 1 species